GUCGGGUUACCAAAUUGAAUAUUGAAGCAAGACUCAAGUAUCAAAUUGAGCAUUGAAGCUCAACAUAGGUACCAAAUGGUAUAUUAAUUUGAGAGAAAAAUAAGCAUGUAAGAAAGAAAAAGGGAAAUGAUUAGAAGAGUUUGCGACAAUAGGUUUUGGUUUAGACUGUGGAGGUGAGAGUCGAACAAAUUUUAGAUAGAGAUGACAAAAUUUGAAUUGUUUGAUGAAUUCCAUUUCGAAUGAAACUACUUUUUUUCUUGAAAAGUGGAUGGGUCGAGGUGGAGUGGAU
rnacentral:lncRNA from 1 species